UAAAGAUUGCCUGGAAGAGGUCUGGGUGUGGAGUGUUGCUGAAGAGGUUUUAGCCCGAGGGCUUUUUUCAGUUCUCUGUGGCAUUUUGCUGUGAGCCGCCCCCUCUCCUCAAACUCCGUGCCCUAUCUCAAUGUUUCCUCAGCCUUCCAAUGUUCCAAGUCUAGUUUCUCUUAGGGGUAAGUCUGUGUCGACCUCAUCCAGCCUCCCUCCUGCAACUUAGAUGUUUGUCAUGUGCUCUCUUGGACUCUGGAAAGCUCAUUUUACAGAUGAGGAAACUGAGACCAACACUGUAAAGUGAUUUGCCCAGGGUCACACAGCUAGGAAGUGUCUGAAGCCAGAUCUGAACCCAGAAAGUCAAGUCUUCCUGCCUCUAAUUCUGGUAGUCUACCAACUGAACCACUCAGCUGCUUUAAUAAUAGAUAUGUAUCAAAUUAUAUCUCUCAGUCUCAAGGACCUGGGAUGUGAUGUUUCUUCAUUCCUCCUGAGGCCUCCAAAAGGAUGGGAGAGAAAGGUAUUGGAAAUACUCCAACUUCUUGGACUGAUGGUCCCUCCCAGCAAGUUGAAUUGGAAAAAGAAUUGGAGAUUUGUGAUCAGAAAGCUGAAUUUGAACCUUGAUUCCACUGCAUAUUACCUGUGUAACAUUUACAUUUCUAUUAUCUUCUGUAAUCUUCAUGUUUUUGAAGGCAGAGUGGUGAACUGGAUAACCUCUGCAGUCCUUUUCGGGUCUAAAUUUUUUUAUCCUAUGUUCCUCCACAUAUGA
rnacentral:lncRNA from 1 species